AUUGAACGCUGGCGGCAUGCCUUACACAUGCAAGUCGAACGGCAGCGCGGGGCAACCUGGCGGCGAGUGGCGAACGGGUGAGUAAUAUAUCGGAACAUACCCUAGAGUGGGGAUAACGUAGCGAAAGUUACGCUAAUACCGCAUACGCACUAAGGUGGAAAGUGGGGGAUUCGCAAGAACCUCAUGCUCAUGGAGUGGCCGAUAUCUGAUUAGCUAGUUGGUGAGGUAAAGGCUCACCAAGGCAACGAUCAGUAGCUGGUUUGAGAGAACGACCAGCCACACUGGAACUGAGACACGGUCCAGACUCCUACGGGAGGCAGCAGUGGGGAAUUUUGGACAAUGGGCGAAAGCCUGAUGCAGCGACGCCGCGUGGAGGAUGAAGGAUUUCGGGUCUGUAAACUCCUGUCAGUAGGGAAGAGAAUGGACGGUACCUACUGAGGAAGCUUCGGCUAACUACGUGCCAGCAGCCGCGGUAAU
rnacentral:rRNA from 1 species